GUUUGGCUAAAACACUUCUUGUCAAAUUUAUUAUAGUUAGUCCAUUAUGCAAAAGGUAGAAGGUUUUAUCUUUGCUUUGUUAUACUUUAAUUAUAUCUUUCAUCUUUCCCUUGCAGUAAUGUUUCUAUAGCUCUAGUAAUAAAUAUUCUAUCUCCUAUACUAAUUGUAAUGAAAUGGUUUAUUAAAAAUUUAUU